GCGCACACGACCAGACAUCCACCGCCCGUUUAAGGUGAUUAGUUGCUGCCGGUGCUGCAGCGCACACGACCAGACAUCCACCGCCCGUUUAAGGUGAUUAGUUGCUGCCGGUGCUGCAGCGCACACGACCAGACAUCCACCGCCCGUUUAAGGUGAUUAGUUGCUGCCGGUGCUGCAGCGCACACGACCAGACAUCCACCGCCCGUUUAAGGUGAUUAGUUGCUGCCGGUGCUGCAGCGCACACGACCAGACAUCCACCGCCCGUUUAAGGUGAUUAGUUGCUGCCGGUGCUGCAGCGCACACGACCAGACAUCCACCGCCCGUUUAAGGUGAUUAGUUGCUGCCGGUGCUGCAGCGCACACGACCAGACAUCCACCGCCCGUUUAAGGUGAUUAGUUGCUGCCGGUGCUGCAGCGCACACGACCAGACAUCCACCGCCCGUUUAAGGUGAUUAGUUGCUGCUGGUGCUGUAGAGCACACGUCCAGGCAUCCACCGCCCGUUUAAAGUGAUUAGUUGCUGGUGUUGCUGCCGCGCUCCGGGAGAGACGUGCAAAGGCCAUUGGGGGUGACUAUUUAUUUGCUCAUGUUACGGUGAACCGCUUGAUCCCAAAAUUCAGUCGCAUGGCGUACGAAUUAACGAUUAAAAGGGGAUUCAGUAAAAUCUUUUUUAAAGUUGAUCAAUUUCUUGAUAGGCUUUUGAAGUAAAAUAUAGUUUUCGAAAGAAUACUGCGAAUAUGUUUGUUCUACUAUUCAACAAAGUUACUACCGUUGUAGACAAGGUAAGAACAUAUUUAUGAAGGCUUCAAAUAUUGAUGUAUAGUAGCCAAAACGAAUCUGACGUCCGCGCGAUGUUCCGGAUUGUGCCGUAAGUGAAGAAAAGGUGCUCAUAGUAUUGUCAUCUGUUCCACGCCACCUGAUGAGGGUGACGCUGGUGAUCAAGUACUAGGUGCCGAUCGUGAUCCCAGUGAUCGUGCUGGUCGUGUCGAUCUACCUGGUGAUCGGUCCCAUCAUCGACAACCCUCAGGUCGAGUACCUGUACGCCUCCUGCUUCAUCCUGGCAGGAGUUGCCUUCUACGGCCCAUUCGUGCACAUGCGCUACGUGCUCCCCGGCAUGGGCACUGUGACAACCUUCCUACAAAUGAUGCUACUGGUGGUACCAACUGAUAAACCUGACCGUUGAGAUAACUAGACUCAAAACACAGAAAUGAAUCCUAAAAGACCAUGGUCAGCGGGUGAAUACAGCGAGUGGCCGAUUCGCAGCAAAUUUACCCCUAAGGCCAUUGUGACGAGCCUUUUUCGACCAUUGACGGAGUAUAAAUGCAAACUGGAUCUUGACAAUUUUUAUAUAAGGAAUUGGUAUAAUAAAAAGAAUUGGUAUAAAUAAUGAAAAAAAUUAAGUACUACAUGAUUUUAUUAAUUGCAAAGUUAUGUACCGUGGUCUGCGGGCUUAUCGCGAGUCCAUCGCACAGAACUUACCCUUUCCUCAUAAUAGGCGCUUGCUUCUCAUUUCACGACCAUCCAUUAAAAUACUGUCGAGGGUGACGAACGGCAAAUUACCAGAAUUACCAUUCAGCUUCAAUUUCCCAGAACAUUAAGAUCACUGCGAAUAAAAUGGGUUUUGCGUAUGAAGCUAACUUGACCCAUGUAGACUCGUACGUACUACUUUUAAUCAAAGUAAAUAGUUCUGGCAGCAGUCUCCUGCGUUACUCAGAGUUAAAACAUUUGUAGAAAAAAACGACAUGGCAUGCUGGGAUGCUCUCGGAAUGCAAAUGUGUUAUGAAACGUGUUGUGUCACUGAGUAGCUUAAGGAUGCAAAUAAAUAGCUGAGGAUCACGGUCCUAGCUUAGAUAGCAAAAAUUUUGAAGAUGCUCUUACCUUCAUGCAGACGUCAUUAGCUUUGAAUUUACUGAGUUACUCUAUAGAAAUUUACCUCAGGCACUUUGCAGUUUACCAAAAAAUAGGACGAUAACUUUUCAGGUGCGGAAGCGCAUUGUCUGCAGAAGGCCUGGCACUCUUAUAGAGGGGACCAGCUGGAUCAAUCGGAGAAAUGUAGUACCAACAGUAGGAGGACGUCGGCCUGACAGUCGAAAUUGAUUGUUGUGUAAUGUGUACCAACCGUGUACUUGUUUCUAUAUAAUGACUUUGUUUGUACCUACCACUCGUAUUAAGAUAAUUUAAA